rnacentral:lncRNA from 1 species
UUCAGCUGAGUCACGUACAGGGCCUCUAAGUGACGAGACGUUUCCGAUUUUAUGGUGACGUCUGGAGUCACCAUAAAAAUCUUUCCAGCCAGAUUGGUUGAGCAAGUCCAAGUGUACACACGAAGCCGCCUUCUCCCRUCUUGAGCACAUGUGCGUAGGAAUAAGAAAAGAAAAGCGUCGUUCAAAUUCAGGUUUAUGAUGAAACCAGCCUCAGUGAUCCACUGAUCUGUGGAACUCAGUGUGACCAGAUGGCAUCGUGGACUAGUGUGCUUCUGACUUCUACCUGUGCAAACCUGCAGCCAGCCCCUCACCCAAGGCCACACGCCCACCGUCGUUUUGCCACUCCCAGGAUCCUUCCUGCAUCUUAGAGGAGUCAGGCCCAAAGCGCUCUCCCAGUGCCCCGUGGGAGCAAGAGGAGGGUCCUGUUUCCCACCACCCUGGUGUUCAGAAGCUUUGCUGUUGGAGUCACAGGAUGGCAGCCACUGUUCUGCCCCCCACUUGUGAUCAGUCCUCCCUGUGCCCAGCCCCUCACAGGAAACCAUGCAGAGGGAAGGAGGGGCUGGCUGGUGAGCUCCUGGCCAGCUGGCUACAGGUGAGUCGGCUCUUCCUUUUUCCUGUCGUCAUUCCUUUGGACUUGCUUCCUUUAGU